rnacentral:lncRNA from 1 species
AGACACCAAGGCAGGGAAGUCUUAAGUUAGGAAGCAAGGCCCUCAGGGCAAAAAGGCUUAUUGCUUGCUUGCUCGAUAUCAAGCAUCAAGCAAGCCGAACUGCCCUUGCCCAUCUUAAUCAUAUGUUUAUGCCUAUUCACAUGUAACUAAGCGCUAUAUAACGGUGCGACAGAUUGUUCCCAGCCUCUGCUCCUAAGACACACGUUGCUCUCAGCGAGCCAUCUACUUUGAGUCCCGGGAUUUUUCCUGAUUUCUUGUUCACAAAUAACACAAACUAUCGUUUUAGCUGUAUGAUUUUAUUCGCCUCAUUUGCGACGGCGGACUCAUGCGGGGGAUGACUGCGACGUGCUGGCCAGGCAUGGCCAAAAGCGCGUCGUCGGACCGGCUUGUGAGAGUCAUGAACGAAUGACAAGGUACUAGUCAAUCGGUGAUCUGGCGGACUAGGUGCUGAAUCAUGUAGUGUUGGGCCGUUGUGGAACUGUUUUGCGAAAAGGAAGCUCGCUUCAAGCUGCGGCCAACUAGCUUUCCUCCAUAUUCUGUCAGUUUUCAUGAGUAGUUGCCUUACCGCUUAUAGACGUGAGUCGGGCUUGGGUACCUGCGAGCAGAAGAGUGUGCUUGCUUCCGUGGGAGGAGGCGAGCCUGGUUACCGACUGCGCUAUCUGCCGCGGGGCGGUGUAAUGGGCAGACGACGCAGUGGAAACCUGUCAGUACUGACUAUAUUAACUCGCGAAAUUGCUCUUUCCGUCGCGCUCUCCGCGACUUGCCCUACUUUCUCACCAGUACGGCCCCGCCGUACCACCAACGAACAGCCGAGUACGCUCUCGGCAAAUACACAGAAAACCUUGGUUUUCUUUCGUUGCUCUCAGAAAACCUACAGAGAUCUAUAGCAUCGGUGUUGUCUCCGCUCCGCGCGGUUGCUCAGUUCAGCCUUGCCCAACUGCGCUUCUCCCCGCCCAGUGCCAUUGUCCCAAAUCACCGCAUGUUUUGCUUGGACCUCCACACUGUGUCUGUAUGAGAGGGUGUAACGAGCCCAGACGAGCCAAAAGCCCAAGAGCCUUGAUACCGCAAGCUAGGUACGGAGCAUGUAAACGCUACAUAGGAAGCAAGGGCAUUAGGGGAAGCAUGGUCGCUGCUGGAGCAUUUUUGGGGCCGCCGACGCCGAUGCCGCACAGCACUGUAGCUGCUACCGCUGUUUUCAGUGCUACCACUACCUCGUCCUUUGUCCCAACGAUUACAGGCACCUAUUGCGACAGCCGGAUCUGCAACAGCCGCAUGCAUGCAGAUGCUGCAGCCUCAAGGCAACGUGGCCUCCGCCUCACACACAACGUUGAAUUAUUUCGCUAAUAAAGGGGGCCACGCUGUACCCGUAGGGAGGUUCGUGCCGUGGCCUUGUGCAUGCCAGUGCCUUAGACCACUUCACGGGAUAAACCCCACUCCGGCCCAAUCCUGCCUAAGCGGCGGUAAUUUGGACCAGCUGCCGUUACUCUACCGGCCGCCGCUCACACACUCGGAGAAGCUCACUCCACUCCGGCCCUCCUUUCCACCUAUAUUUAUCCACGCAGAUAUCUUCGAGGCUUCGUUGUCCUUGGAUGCAUGGGUGGACGGCUGUGAACUUGGAAGCCCAAUACCAUUGGGAAGUGACCUGCCCGCUGCAACCUAGCUUCCAGCAGAUAUAGUGGUACGACGGUCAAGCAAAUCGCGGCUCAAAGUAGGUACAUGUACACUUACUGUGUCAGCACAAGUGCGGGGUCCGUCAGAGCCGGGGACCCCGUGGACCGUUAGUGAAAACGUUACGGUGUGGGGGGCGAUUAUCGUCAUCCUCCCAUUCCCGCCGAAGCGCAAAGCGUAGGAACGCUGUCUCCCAACCUAGAGAUAAAGGAAAUAAUAAAAGACAGGUAAUGCCGGCGGGGCCCCCUCGGUCAUAACGGUGCGCAUGUUGCGCCCUUGAAACUCGAGUCCACGCCCAUAACCAGCCCUCAAGUCAUCAUAAGCGGGGCAUUUCCCAAGCGCAUGCUGUUCGUUUUCCACCGCUCCGAAGUUACAAAGCCUGCAGGUACGUGAGGCGCACUCAUCACGGUCGUUGGGCCUAUUGGCCUCUAAUCCUUAACAGCACAACCUAUAGCUCAUCAGUCUUUGGUGCAAUCGCUGGGGGAAGGGGGCGUCCGCGUGAGCAAGCUACCCAGGGCGCGCUCCAUCACAGCGGUGUCCUCAUUCAAUGAUGGUAACGGCACGCCUUGACCCCGGCGGCCCCGGUGGGGCCCCCCCUUGGGUUCACCCAAGGUGUUCUCGCACGUCCAGCCUCUUUGCAUAGGUAGGCAUUGAUCGCGGCUGUUGCAAUUGUCAUCUCUGUGAGUCAGCAGGUCCAUGACAAGGCCAGUGAUGACCAGGGACGGCGGUUGGGAAGUCAGGGGACAUGGAGCGCUCAAGCAGUGUUGCCAUUAGUCUGCUGGCGCUGCUGCCGCUGGGCCCGGAGCUGUGGAAUCUGCAGCCCCAAGAUGUGCUACAUGCACGAACUUGUACUGGUUCAUUCUCUCCUAGUAUGCAGGGGCAGCAACUGAAUCAGGUGCGGCAUUUGCUAGUGAAGGAUAUGCGAUAGUGGCGUUAAAGGAAACGACCUCGCAACAAGGAGUCCAUAUGCUGACAUGGCGUGUCGGUAUAUGGGGGCUUCGGGCCCUUCCCGUCGGUGAUAAUGAAAGAAGCACUGGAGCCAGCAGGGUGACGGCGUAAGGCUGCCAGGGCCAGAGGCACGACUAAUAACGUGAUGUGAUGGCAGCGGCAGUGUUAAUGGCGGCGGCCGCACGGUGGCCGGACUGCAGCAAUGGGCCUAUGGGUCACUCGGUGGCGGCAGCAGCAGCGGCAGCAGUUCGGGUGGCAGCAGCAGCAGUUCGGGUGGCAGCAUGCAAAAGUGGUAGCUUUAACAGUUGAGUGGUAGCAGCAGUGGCAGAUACAACAGCAGCAACGGCAGUAGCAUCAACAGCAGUAGCGGCAGCAGUGGCAGCGUCACAGGCUUGGCGUGUGCGGGGUCUGCGAGGGUAGCACUUGUAACACCAGGUAGAGUACUUGGGGGAGAUACUCGCCGGCCUGAUGAUGGAGAUAUUCAACGGAGUUGGAUCCCUUCGACAGUUACGGUGAAGGGGCAGUCCAACUAGGUAUCAGCGGGGGUGGGCCAAAACCGUAUCUUGGGGGCUUUGUAGCAAGGAACGAGGGCUCCGUGUGUAUGUGUUUGGGGAUGGGGUAAGGAAGGUAAGGGGGAGAGGAGAUAGAGGGCGACUCGUGGGCCAUUGGCCAACGGGAUAUGCUUGCGGGUAAGGGCGCUGCCGUAAGUCGCAGCAACAUGGAGCAACAUAAUAUGCUGCUGUUGGUGGGCCUGGUGUGUCGCUGUCCUCAAAAUGUCCGCAAAGCCCCACCCCAUUAACAACCCCGUAACAGCGCCCAUGCAUGGGAGGGUUGCGGUUACUGGGGCCGGCAAACAGGCUCGUGCCUAUCUAGGCGCUAAGCCAGACCAGGGCAGGCUUAUCGGCAACCAUAUAGGACGUGGGGACAGGACAGCUGCCUGGGACCUCCUAGGACGCCCUUGCCUCGGCACGGGAGAGUUGGCGAUGCGGAUUGGCAGGGAAAUGACCGACACCGGGCGUCACCUUCGAGGCUGCGCCCACCUUCCUUGUAGGCCUUCUGUACUGCCGAUAACUAGGGAAAUUCAUAUAUAUAGCCAAUGAUCAUAUCCCGAGAUUACAAGCCGAUCUCUAUUCGCCACUUUUCAAUGAAAUUAAUGCAAUUCUUCUGCUUUGUGAGUAUUUUGAUCAGAUAGUUAUCAGCAGAGGUGGUGAGUUUGCUGCAGGGGUCUACACACUGUCGUCGUAUCGUCAGGGCCGCCAUUACUCGCUUCCCCUUGCCCUUACAUCUGAAGGCGCCUUGACGUAUACAUCCGGCUUUUGAGAACAGGUAUUGAGAUCCAUGUACUACAUGGUAUGGCUCCAGGCGCAGGUUCUGCGUCCUGUAAAUCCUAUCACUUCCUGCAACACCACCGCCACCGCUGCUGCAGCUGCCGGCUGCGUCGACAAUCAACCGUAAAGCCUUCUCGUCGUGAGUUGAGACCAGGCCGGGAUGGAGCAAGACGAAUUGAGCUGCAACCGUAAGCUGGGGACGGGACCCAUGCCUCAUUCGUAUUAAUUACCAUAAACCCACGGCGGGGCCUCAUGAAAGAGGAAAGGGUUGGCGGGCUGGGGACAAAUCCAUAAUAGGAUACACCCUUUGGGCGGUUGCCCUCUCACUGGCCGUUCAUUAUCAGCAUAUACUAUGCUAAGCACAGACAUAAAGCUAUGUAGCCAUCCUGUACACCUCAAGACACACCGUACACAUGCAUACGGUAAUCUUGGUGACCCAUAUGGGUAAGGGUAUCGAGACCCCAGAACACGAUUGCUGCGAUGUCCAACACCUGUGCCGCCAGUAGCCCCGCCUUCUAUGCUGCCAAGAAGUGCUGUUUGCUCUUGGACCUCUGUCCCGGCUCACGUCUCCUGCAGAUCCCCGUCGGAUCCCACAAAUGGACCUCCCACUGCUGUUGGCGUUACGGUGCAUGUGAGGGGAGGGGUAGCGGCCCCCGCCCAGUCCCCUCCUGGCCCCUUACCCUGCUUGCCGCUACCUGUCCCCUCUAAUGCGCCGUAACGCCAACAAGUGGGAGGCCCAUUUGUGGGAUCCACGGGGAUGUGUGACACGGUCGAGACGGGACAGAGGUCCUAGGGCAAACAGCACUUCCUGGCAGCAUACAAGACGGAGCUCCUGGCGGCGCAGGUGUUUGACAUCGCAGCCAUCGUGUUCUGGGGUUCUGAUACAUUUACCCAUGUGGUAGGAUUACCGAAUGUAUGUGAAUGUAAGUGUGUCAGCUUGGAACAGGUAACUGUCAUGUCAACAAGUAUGAUGGUCCCAAACACAUAGACGAUGCACCUGCACCUGUCUUCCGGACCAAAUUUCACAUCCUCCCGCCAUCCCAUCCCAUACUUCCCUACUGCACCGUAUCUGGACCCGUUCUUCUUACUACUUUCCAACUCUUCCAUACCCCGCUUCUUUUCCCCAUGCCACCCGCCACCCGCCCCCCUUCCAGUCGUUUCCAUUGCUGGAGGUGCAGAGGCUGUAGGACGUCUUACCACCGGUCCAGCCGCUGCAGGGACUCCCGCUGGGGGCCCGUGUGCCGGUCACCACCGCGGUGGCGGUUCUACAGGUGCCAGCAGGCUUGCAACCCGUUGUGGAAUCCCUUGCGAACAUGCUGGUAGCCGCGUCGUGGAGCCCCUGCGCUGGCCCAGCCGCUGCCAGCCUUGGAGAAGCAGCCCACAGAGGCGGCCGUCGCGGCGGUGGUGCCACAGCCAGCAGCUGCGGCACUUGACGAUAUUAAUCCUGACCAAGGUUUUUAGACUUUUUGCGUGAUGUAUUGGAUGGGUCAGUGUGGGAGCUCCCCAUGCCGAUCGACCCCACCGAGGGCCUGCGUUCUACUCCCACACGGACCCAUCCAUUACCUCGCGCAACGAACUCCCAUGAAAUCUUGGUCAGGAGUAAUGUCAUCAAGUGCCCCAGCUGCUGGCUGUGGCACCACCGCCGCGACUGCCGCCUCUGUGGGCUGCUGUGGUAGCGCAGCCUCCAAGGCUGGCCGCGGCAUUACGGCUGGGCCAGCGCACGGGCUCCACGACGCGGCCACCAGCAUGACGUAAGGGACGCCACAACGAUAUUGCAGGCCUGCUGGCACCUGUAGAACCGCCACCGCGGUGGUGACCGGCACACGGGCCUCUAGCGGGAGUCCCUGCAGCGGCUGGACCGAUGGUAAGACGUCCUGCAGCCUCUGCACCUCCAACAACGGAGACGACUGGAAGGGUGGCGGGGGGCGGGGGGCGGGGUAUGGAAGGAUGGGAAAAUAGUAGGAAAAACAGGAUCCCAGAUACGAUGAGCUAAGGAGAUAAGGGGCGGGACGGUGGAGAGUAAUAGGGCAGAUAUCCUAGUCACAUCUUUCGCAUCGUGGCUGUGUCGUAAUUCGUUAUGGUUGCGUUGGCAGCAGGACUUUGUGUCUGUACUUACUGCUCCAACAUGGCUAAGCAGGGGGAUGAUCCCUGUGUGGCUCGGUUAAUACGUCCAUCUGUUCGGCGCUCCUAUACGAAGAGUUAAUGCUUCUGCCAGGUUGUUCUGAUACAUCAGGUAGAAUGCUGGCAUAUGUGGGGAUGCUGUGCUACUGAAAAUGCGUUCCUGUUCUUGAGGUGCACGUAGGUUGGCUGGGUAGUUUGCGGCGGGGUACGGUAAAUAGUAGCUGAUGCAUGUGACGGGAGGUUCGUAGGGGUUGGCAAUAGCGUGUUAGCUAGGAGAGUGGGAUGUGGCGCAUUGACUCCGCUCCCCUUCGACUCAUCAUAUAUGUCGUCGGUACGCAGUAAUAUUAGCAUGGUUGCGGAGCCAACUAACGUUUUAUGUUUUUCGUUCGGGCACCGAAGUUAUGACGACCUCGUGUAAGGCGUACGGUGAACACGGCUCACAUGCCUGAGAAGUCUGGGAUCUUCAUGAUACUGAAACACCACAAUACCAACCGUAUAUAACAGUAGUGUUUUAUUGCAUAGCUAGCAUGAGAAGUAUGCGUGCGAGUAGGUGAGUUGUAGCACGAGAAACUGAGGCGUUGAGGACGUUGAAAGUGUUGAGGUUGUUCACAUGUUACUAGCCAGUGUACAACCUGCCAGAGUCGGUUGCAGUGGUGUCACGUCAUAUUUCCUGGCGGCUGAAUGCGGACCUCGCACUCUAGGGUAAACGUUGUUCUGUAAAAUGCGCGGUUCUCCGUGGUCGCUCCACGGACUCAAUCAUGACGUCUAAAUGCAAUCAUCAUAGAUUCGUUCCGCAGUGCGUUGGUGUCGUCAACCCGCUGACACAGGGGCGCAUGUGGUUUGGACGGUGAGUAAAAGCAGUGACAAUACCUUAAAAAAGCAUGUAUAAUGUUAAGUGAAAAAAGCGGUAGUGUGCGCGCACUAAGCUCCGUCCCAUCUCAUCGUCAAAAAUAGUAAUGUCACCACUAAUAGGACCUACCGUUCGAUACUCCGGCAGAUAGACGAGCUAGAUCCUAGAAGCCUCGGCAAGCAGGGUUGGCGUAAUGUGCCGUCUAAAUGGCAGCUUUUUGUUGUAAAUUAUAAAUACAUAAUAAUUAUCUGGUUCCGCAUAAGUUGUAAAAAUUUAAGGGAGAGGCAAUCGUAAACCUUCUAGCCCGAGGCAGAAGAUUGUGCGUGUAUGGGGACUUUCGCGUGGCCUUGGCAAAUACUUGGGGGGAACUUUAUCUAUGUCCGAGGGGGAAGCGACGGAGAACUGCAUAGCAUCAACCGAUGCCGCGCCUCGGGGUACCUCGCCGCGCCUUGAUCACCUCGGGGUAUGUCGCCCUCGAGGGAUGCCUGUUUAGGUGUGCCUAGGAAUGCCUGGGCUGCCUAGCUAGGCAACUUAAGUAUUUCAUCGAACAGUACAAGAUUUCUGCCACCAACCAAGCAUAGGACCGAGCGAUAAGACCCUUUCCUUGUCUCCCCAUCCCAUGAUCGUAUCUACGUGAGGGGAACUUAUGCUCAUAAAAGCUGGUGACCAGUCAUUGAUAAGGCAUAAGUACAUGUUCCCAAGCUAGACGAAAUACGAGUAGAUUUAGUACCUUUCCGUAUCAUCUCCAGGUGUAACACUACUCGCAACCUUAGUGUUUUAGGCAAUAUCUUUAAUCAAUCGCCUGCGGAUGGAGCCUGUGCCGUCGAAUGGAUUCAUUCAGAGCCUCGGUCUUGACCCUUCUGUCUCCCCGCCCAAUGACACCACUCCCCCUGAGCGUCCGCUGCCAGCAGUAGCAGUGCCGACCUCAAGUCGUAACGCACCCCCAGUGCGCGGUACAGCCACCAAACGCAGUUGCCAUCGCCGCCGCGGGGGUAGCUCCACUAACAAGAGGCGGGGAAAGGCGUCCACCACCACCAGGGCCGGCAACCGCUCUUCUGGUAAUGUCGGUAGCAACCAUCUCGACCACGGCCAUGGCGGCGGCCUUGAAGGCGAUGACCCCGUCAAUGCGACGACGAUGGAGAACACCGUCAACAGCCAGACACGUAGAACGGACAGUGGUCCAAUAAAUAAGAGCUCUCAGUUCAAGGGCGUUAGCUGGUAGGUGAUACAUAUCCUCCAUCCCUACCCACUCCAUUCCAUCUCGCUAGCUAACUACGUAUGUAUCCCAGCAGCCAUGUCCAACCUCCCAUCAUCCCAAUCCUGCCAUCCGGCCACCACUCUGGCGUCAUCCCUCAUGAAGCGAGGCAUAAUUACAUGCGCGUAUAUGUAGGGCCACGCGCGGCUCACCACCUAGUGUUGCGGCAUUUCAUGCACCCAGUCCCCUCCUGGCCUCGCCGAAACCGCCCCAAUCCCUAACCUUGCAGGCACAAGAACACAAAGAAAUGGGAGGCUCACCUGUGGGACCCAACAGUGCCUCGCAAGAAGGACCAUCCAGGAAAGAGGAACAGGGGAAAGCAGUACUACCUGGGAGCAUACAAGACCGAGCGGAUGGCGGCCCGGGCGUUCGAUAUCGCCGCAAUCGUAUUCUGGGGUCUCGAUACCACAAUUAAUGUGAGUCAUUAGGUUACUUUAUCGCAUGGUUUGUGAAGAUAUAAUAUAGGAUAGAUGUCUUUAUGUAAUUAGCUACAUAACAUGCUCAUGCGAUCUAAGAUGACGCGAAUGGCUACCCAUCAAGCAUAUGUGCUUGGUCCGGCGGGGAAAGUCGAUAUUCCCAACUGACAGAUUGAUGUAUAUGUACGGUAUACAGGCAUGUACUUACCUUCCUGCCUUCCGCACCCCUUCAUUCACACGCUGUGCCGCGAUGAUACUCUGUGCAGUACGGUAGUUUUUAUAAAUAUGGUUCCGAAAUUAAACAGCUGCAUGUCGGCGCAUCUUGACGCAGUUUCCGAGGGAGGACUACAUCGCGGAUUUGGGGUCCCUAUCCCAGCUGGACAGGGAGGAGGUGGGCCCUAUGCUGCAGUGCCUAAGUCGCAGCUUCAACGAGAAAGGCCAGUUCGGAGACUUUGGAGGAGACAAUGUGAUAAGGAGGAUCAGCAAUCUGCUUGCCACGGCCUAUCUGGUGAGCGGUGAAGCGUGAGCCAGUAGUGGGUUGGUGGCUCACUCGGUGGGUUAGUAUCCAUUCCCCGGCUCUCCACCCUUUCCCUUUCAAUAAUAAUCGCAACAACGGGUUGCGGAUAUGGACCACAUGAUUAAUGCAUGGGUAGGAAACGAUGUUGUCCUGAGUUUGUGGCUACAUAAAGCCCUUCAUUAAUACACAUGCAUGUUUCGUUCCUCAUCUCGACCCUUACCAACCACACCAUAUCUGAACUGCUGCUGUUUCUUAAAUUUCCCGUCCCUCACCCGCCAUCCGCCACCCGCCACCCAAUCCUCUUCCAGUCGUCUCCGUUGUUGGAGGUGCAGGGGCUUCAGGACGCCUUGCCACCGGUCCAGCCGCUGCAGGGACUUCCGCUGGCUGCUGGGCGUGUGCCGGUCACCACCGCGGUGGCGGUUCUACAGGCACCAGGUUUGCAACCCGUUGUCGUGUCGCUUGCUGACCUGCUGGUGGCCGCGUCGUGGAGCCCCUGCACCGGCCAAGCCUCAGUACUGCUGCCAGCCUUGGUGACGCUGCCAUCACAGCAACCCACAGAGGCGGCAGUUGCGGUGGUGGCGCCACAGCCAGCAGCUGUGGCUCUCGGUGACGUGGACCCUGACCAAGACUUCUUAGACUUUUUACGAAAUGUGUUCGAUGAGUGACACUGAUUGGCUGUGCCGGUAGCUGUGUGUGUGGCUGCAUGGCUGGCUCUUUCAGAGUAUAUCACUAAGUGGGUGCGUGAAUGAAGUGGCUGGCUUGGUGUUCAUAUUGCGGUUUGCGUUAUUAUGUGUGUGCAGUUGCUGCUGCUGUACAACGAGACUUGUAUGCAUGCGUUCACGUCGACGAAUUUAGUUGUUGCCAUGCAGGGUGCGCUUUUGGGGUAUGCUUUCAUGCAUGUGCUAGGUCGUGUGUGUAUGUGUGUAUGUGUAUAUGUGUAUAUGUGUAUAUGUGUGUAUGUGUGUAUGUGUGUAUGUGUGUAUGUGUGUAUGUGUGUAUGUGUGUAUGUGUGUAUGUGUGUAUGUGUGUAUGUGUGUAUGUGUGUAUGUGUGUAUGUGUGUAUGUGUGUAUGUGUGUAUGUGUGUAUGUGUGUAUGUGUGUAUGUGUGUAUGUGUGUAUGUGUGUAUGUGUGUAUGUGUGUAUGUGUGUAUGUGUGUAUGUGUGUAUGUGUGUAUGUGUGUAUGUGUGUAUGUGUGUAUGUGUGUAUGUGUGUAUGUGUAUGUGUGUAUGUGUGUAUGUGUGUAUGUGUGUAUGUGUGUAUGUGUGUAUGUGCGUAUGUGUGUAUGUGUGUAUGUGUGUAUGUGUGUAUGUGUGUAUGUGCGUAUGUGUGUAUGUGUGUAUGUGUAUAUAUGUGUGAAGGUUACAAGCAUCUGACCGGGCCUGGGAGGGGCCCCGGAUGGGAGAUGGGCGCGAGGGGUUUUUGCUCCCGCCUAGUAGCCGAGAGCCACAGGUCCGUGCGUGUGUGUGCGUGUGCAUGUGUGUGUAUGUGGACGAAAACGAUAGCGGGCCGAGGGCGUGCGCGCAAAGGUGCUGCCUAGCGUUGAGAUCUUCAUAGGUAAGAGGUAUGAAUGUAGGAUGGUAUUAGGUGCAUGCUGACCAUAGCGACCGACUAUUAUUAUGUUAUUGUGUGGACACGGAUGUUUUUAGGUUAGUGUGUCUGACAGCAGUCUGAGUGUCGGUGCAGUACUGCAUCAGCGCCAUAGUAUGUCUGUUAGCUCGGUUAGGUAGGCGGCCGGUGACGUGUAUCGAGUGCUGUGAUGCUUAGAUUUGCUGAUCUACUUGUUAGUCUGUCCUUCGUACUUUCUUACAGUACUUCGUAUCAAUUUGGACUGCUUAGUAAGUCCGUACUGUGCAUUUGUUUACAGUACUUCGUAAAUAUUCGAACUACUCGGUACUUGGUACUUGGUACUACGUCUGAAGUCGUUGAUACAUGUUACUUCAAAUUGGUUUAAAAGACUUGGUAUUCGGGCACUAAGCGCAUCGGAUGCAACUUAUCUGUAACAUAAUGCUAAGUGAUCUACUAAGCGGUCUCUUAAGCAUGUUACCAGGUAGCUAUGAAGGACAUAUGAAGUGACUAGCAUUACGAUGAUCCCAAGAAGGUAUUAAUAAGUGGCGGCGUUCCUGGAGUGCUGUGUGUAUCCGUUACAUAUCGAUCCGGACUUGAUGCUGGCCAGGGACACCUAAUUGUAGCUUAGAUGCGGCAGGAACGAAACGAGUAUAGCCUCUAAGCUAACGGCAGCCGUACAGCUUGCCGAAUUUGUUACUUCAGUUAACAGCUCCGUAGUUCCGGCAUUCUGCCUACACUAUUGGAGCUUAAUGUUGCCCUUUCACUUCCCUCCUCCUCCCGCCCUCAGUGUCCCUCGUUUACAAGCGGCAGGCUCGGCCUAGUUAGAGACCUGGUGAUUGGGCAGUCCACUCGGAACGCCAGACGCACCACUGUACAGCUAUCACCGCUCGGCCACAGCGCCUUUAGAGUAUCGCUGCGCGCUAGGAAUGUUGCCUGGCCAGCCCUGCUGGCCUGGGUGCGGUUCGUGUGUCGCUGAUGCUUCAGGUUUGCCCUCGGGGCGGGUGUCAGGUGGACGCAGUCAUUAAUGCUGCGUUUAGUCGUCUAGUGCUGUGCGUCAGUUCUUUCGGCCGUGCCGGUGUGGCCGCGCUGGACAGCGCUGCGUGCACUCAGACCGCGCCGUGUGGCGCUAGACCGCGCUUCGGCGCACACGCGCCCUGGCGCUCCGAGAGCCGCAGUACUGCAGACGUGUAAGGCCACAGCUUGGCAGCCCCGGUUCCGCCUCACCCUGUCCUAUCCGGCACCUCGAAUGUAAGCGUACAACAAGCCAUGAAGGCUAUAGGACAUAAUCAAGGAUUGCCUCUGGUUUGUGUUGCACUUCUGACUAACCACCUGUCAUCCAGCCAGUAAUCCGUCACGUCUUUGGUGCAGCUUUGGAAUCGCUUCACUACUGUAACAUCAAAAACACCCCAACCCCAAGCUGCAAUAUCCAGAAUUGUCAUCCUGCCGAUAUGCAUGCAUACCCAACGAACACAUCCUGAAGUCGGAUGGGGUGGACGGAUUAGGGUGCCCCUCUAGCAGGGGAGAGCAGGGAACUGCCUCGGGAAAGGGGGCCGCUGGUGAAGCUAUACCACCCUGUAACAACAUACAUACACGCUUUUAUCAGCUUCUAACAGCAGCGGUGCAUAUGACAGAAUGUCACGACGCGUUCAUACACAGGCUAACGUGGGCUAACCCGAUCAGCAGCCACCAGCGCUAGAGCGAUGACGCACAAGAUCACAACACCCCUGGUGGCGGCACUCCGAAGUACCGCUGCAUCACGAGGGUGAGCUCAUGCAGCCACAGCGAGAUACAAAGUAUCCCUACCAACAUCACAGACCGCAUCCACGACCUGGAUCCAUCCAAGCCUACACUAGCUAUCAAAUCUCGCCCUUCCAGAAACGAAGACAACAUCUGCUGACACCAACGUGAAUGAGAAGCUGUACAACGCAAUCCUUCACAGCUGUACAACCCAGCCCACACAUGGCGAGCAUACAUAAUCGAAUAUGGGGCACCCCGGGGCUCAGAGUUCAAAGCUCGUGAGUCUCACAGCGGCAACAAACCGCUGCAUGCAACAAGCGCAAACCAUGGUGCCCCGAUGCCCUGCCUAACGGAGCUAGGCAGGCUCCAAGGUCAGAAUAGUAAGAGUGAAAGCUUCAUGGAAAGGUGGAGGGACCCUUCAAAAAGGUAGCGAUGAGGGAGCAGACAAAGGUGUUUGCACGGCGAGUAUGCAUGUUGUACAGAUUGUGGAUUCCAAGAGAGAUCAUCACACGUUACAGUGGGUACCUGCGAGCUCUUGAAGUCAGUCUUCGGUAGGUAGGUAGGCCUUGUGGAGGCUCCAGCAAUCGCAAGGUUACCAAUUGGGCCUGGACACCUAUCGCCUCACAGCAGCAACAGCGACCUAACGUAGCUACGAAACCCGAAAAUUACUCUUUCUAGCACCCAAGGGUGACUGCCUUUACCGGCAUCACGUGCCGUACAAGCGCGCACAACUCACUCUUCUG